AAACAUGGCAGUUUUUUAAAGAGCAUUUGUAAAUCCAAUCUUUUCUUCUAUUUGUCUAUCUGUCGCUGCCGUUGUGGAAACAUGAACAUUGAGAUAUGGGCAGUUAGUGGACUUUAAAGGGAUACUGUGACGACCAUGACCACUUCAGUGAUUUUUAAGUGGUCAUUGUGGUAGGAGUAGGUAUGUGCUGUUUUUGAAACACUGCACAUAAU